rnacentral:rRNA from 1 species
AAACCAACAGGGAUUGCCUCAGUAACGGCGAGUGAAGCGGCAAGAGCUCAAAUUUGAAAUCUAGUACCUUCGGUGCUCGAGUUGUAAUUUGAAGAAGGCUAUCUUGGAUUUGGCCUUUAUCUAUGUUCCUUGGAACAGGACGUCACAGAGGGUGAGAAUCCCGUGCGAUGAGGUGUCCAUUUCUAUGUAAGAUGCUUUCGAAGAGUCGAGUUGUUUGGGAAUGCAGCUCUAAGUGGGUGGUAAAUUCCAUCUAAAGCUAAAUAUUGGCGAGAGACCGAUAGCGAACAAGUACAGUGAUGGAAAGAUGAAAAGAACUUUGAAAAGAGAGUGAAAAAGUACGUGAAAUUGUUGAAAGGGAAGGGUAUUAGAUCAGACUUGGUAUUUAGUUAUCAUUGCUCCUUGUGGGUGGUGCUCUAGCUUUUUACUGGGCCAACAUCAGUUUUGGUGGCAAGAUAAUGACAUUUGAAUGUGGCUCCUCGGAGUGUUAUAGCUUUUGUUGAUAUUGCCUACCGGGACUGAGGUCUGCGGCUUUGCCUAGGAUGUUGGCGUAAUGAUCCAAUACCGC